UACGUAGGGUGCGAGCGUUGCUCGGAAUCACUGGGCGUAAAGGGUGCGUAGGCGGGGCUUUAAGUCAGGGGUGAAAUCCUGGAGCUCAACUCCAGAACUGCCUUUGAUACUGAGGAUCUUGAGUUCGGGAGAGGUGAGUGGAACUGCGAGUGUAGAGGUGAAAUUCGUAGAUAUUCGCAAGAACACCAGUGGCGAAGGCGGCUCACUGGCCCGAUACUGACGCUGAGGCACGAAAGCGUGGGGAGCAAACAGG
rnacentral:rRNA from 1 species